UUGGGUUCAUUAUUUACCAUGAUGGAGGGAGAGUCAAGUCAACUCAGUCCAGAUCUCGUUGGGUUCAUUUAUAUGCGACUUCGUCCGGCUAGCAACGAAGCCAUUCAUCUCACAAGCCUCAUCCCCAUUUCGUUGUUCCCUUCCCAGCAUCUACCCCAAGUGUUGGAUCUUCUCCAGGUUAGUGCUUUUUCUUCUAUUACGAACCUUGUUGUUUUUCAGAUGAUCCUAGCACAGCCCUGUUCAGUGGCGAAGCCAGCAAUUGGCAAGCUUUGGCUGCUGCCAUACGUAAUUAACACCUGUCAUGUAUACUAGGUCUAUAUGAUACUUCAUUGAUGAUUUGAGCUGAGAUACAUUUGCUAGUUACCACUGCCACACCAUAAAAUUGUGCCUGCAUCCGCCACUGGCCCUGUUUAUAGUUUAGUUAAAACAAAUAUGUUAUGGCUUUACGCAUGUUUUUCCUUAAUUAAAAAGGUACACAUGUUUCUGUAAAACAAUAUGUUAUAAGCUAUGGAUUUCUGUGAGGCGUUUCCGCACAGAUAGUAGAUUUUAUUUCCAUUGUUUUGAUAAAUCCAUGUCUUGCAGCAGCUCACAUCCAACACUUCUCAGGGACUUAGUUUAUGACUGAUCUACAUCACAUGGACUGAUCUACAUGACAUCACCUUGCCUACAUCUACUGAUCUACAUGACAUGCCCAUGUCGAUGCCACGCCCCUUUGCUUAAUGCUUAGCCUAAUUGAAGCCAGCGUAUCGUACUUAAUAGUACUAGUAUAACACUGCAAGCAAGUACCAUACUUAAUAGUAGAAAAUUUUGUUUCGAGAGUUAACACUGCAAGCAAGUACUGGUCCGUGCUUAAUAGUACUAGUAUAACAGUACAUUCAGUUUUAGUGCUGUAAAAUUACUACAACUCUGCAAUUAUAAGUUUAUGACUGCUUCACAGCUCACAUAAUAUCACCUGUUUCUAUCUUGGAAUCAUAGGGAUUGUUUUCAAAGAUUCAGUUUAGCUUUCUAACAUGUGCCUUCAGAUCGAUUUGAACCAAAAAUUAGCAUAACACUCAUGAACUGUGAGCCUGUAGUGGAUGGUAUGUUUGAUUUUCUUUCGAGUUGAUGUGAGAUGAAUUAAAAAUGUCACCAUGUAGAGAAUUAGAGAAAGCAUAUGAAAGUAUUUUUGCCUGGUACGUGGAAAACCAUUACUUGUACAGAUGUAUGAUUAGUAGUUUUGUCAUGUUUCCACUCCCUACAUUUUUCAAUAUGCUGGAGAAUGAAACUUCUUUUUAGUCUAAUUGCUAUUAUCACUGUGGAGCUUCAAAAACAUGGUAUGGGAUUUGAGGAAAAGCUGCUGCAGAUUUUGGGAAAGUGGUAUGUGAGCAUGUAUAUGACCAUGAAAGUUUUUCAGGUGAACGGGAAACUGCAGCAUUUGAUAUCCUUUUGGGGAAAGGCUACAAUGGACCCUCCAAAUAUUCUCUGCUUACUGCACAUUUCAUUUUUGUAGAGAUUAUGCCUGAAGCACCGGGUGUUUGAAAUAUCUCAAGCUGAUCUUCAGAACGAUGAGGACCAGGCCUACAGGAAGAUUAUGCCUGAACCAUUUGUCGUUUCUCCUUUGGCCCCGUCUAUUCUUGUCCCAUCUCUUUGCUACACACUUUUUUAGAUUGCAAGUUUCUGCAUGUACUAGUGUUGGCUAUUAUAAGGAAAUUGCUUGUUCGCAUCGUUUAGAGAACGCUAGUUGGUACUUUUACCCAAACCGAAUGUUUCUGAACUUUUUCUGUGGUUGUGUUCAAUUUAUCCCAUGACUAUAAAAAAAUGUAGCACGCCGAAACACAGUAAGAGGAUGUGAUAAGAAAAUUGUUCAGUUGUUUUCUGCUCGUACAAUUUAUGCCCAGUUUCUUCUAUUUAUCUUGUGAUAAUGUGACUUGGAAAGUAUAAAUGUUAUCAUUUCCUUUUAAUUCAACAUUCAAGUCAUCCUUCCUUGCAGAUAACGGAAACCUCCAUAGGUCAAGCACUAUGCCGGGGGUGGUCAAGGAUACUGAGAUAACUACUGAAACUACGGGUCCAUCAAAUCUAGAAAGGUCAAAAACUGAGAGGCGCAAACAAAGUAACCCAGCUGAUGAUCCUGCUAAACAGUUAUUGGAUGAUAAGAUUUCCAUAAGGAAAAACGUGUGUAUACCUGGCCCUCUUAUCUUCCUUGGUAUGAUGAAAUGUAGCUUCUUCUUGACGCGGUCCAUGUGCUGGUUAUGUAAAUGUAGGAGGUAUUGAAUUGUUAAUUAUGUUAGCUUCUGUAUGAACAUUGUCAUUAAUAUGUUUGGGAGAUAGUUUUUAUAUGUAAUUACAUCUCUAUAGAAGUUGGAGCUAAUGAAAUUGCAAGUGCUUUAGUGGGUUGGAACAACAUAGUAUAUACAAAUUUGUAAGUUUUGACAUACUGCAGUGCAUUGCAUGGAAGCUUGAAACAUGGCUAGAUUUACUAAUUUGUGUCUGGUGCUGGAUUUUUCUCUCUUCUAAUCUUCUGCAAAUUUAACUUCACACAGCUCAAAAUGUUAAAUCGAAUAGCUACAGUGAAGGAUAAUCGAACUGUGGUUGUUAAUGUACCAAGUACACUAGAAGCGACUCCAAUUGACGUUGGAGCAGUGGAUGGCUAUGCGGAUGUUGUAGUUGAACAAUCAUUUUGUAGUCAGCCGCUCAUCUCUUAACUAGCAUCAGUGAUUCAAGGCCUAGGGGUGUUCCACGAUGGGCAACCUUGUCAGUUCAGUCUAGUGUAAGAUUUAUAUAUGUGGAAACAUCAGAGACCUUGACUCGCAGUUUGCAAACAUGUCUUUGAAACACAAGGAUAUAUUGUUAACUAUGAUAUCAUGAUAAUCUUUUGAUCGAAUAUUUUUAAUACACAUAUGAGAUUUUAACAACUUGAUCUGGUUCCACUUUCUUGACAAAUUUGUGCAAAAUGUUUUCAGGUACUCAACCUAUUGAUGCACAUGGACAUGAUGACUCUCUAGCGUUUAUGGACCAACCAACCUGUAAUCAUGGACCUUAUUGUCUUGUAGACCAUUUGGUGUUUCGAGUGUUUUGG
rnacentral:lncRNA from 1 species